rnacentral:lncRNA from 10 species
UGUACAUAUGGCUCACUUGUGCCCAGAGAGAGAAUAAAGCCAUGUCGAAACUAUCUACGAUUCCUUGAGUGUUUUUCCAGCUACCUGCCACUUGCCCACCCACUCCCCUCAGAUCUCAGUUAGAACAUGACAAUUGGGCUCAUGAACAGGAUCCUGAGUGGUUGCAGGUGAACAAGCAGUUGGCACAAGGGCAAAGUGAUCACAUCCUGAUUGAGUGGCUAUGGACAGCCAUACAGACUGUGUGGAACAACGCUGGUGAAAUACCCAAACCUAAUUUGGUGACUUCUCAGGCAUCUGAAACACACAGAUUGAAAAACACUGCUGGAUUCAGUAGGAACUGGGACAAAGGGUAUCUUCAGAAAGAAUAAUGGAGACCUGUGUUGUUGCUGAAGGAGAUGGAGCUUGGGACUUGGAAGACUGGCAGAGCUGCUUCUCCUUAGGAGCUCUGGCUGCUACUGGAGCAGCCCCAGGAAGGCUCUGUCACUAGGAACAAGAGCUACCACUAACUGAGUUAGUCCCUGGGAGCUGGACACUGCUGCUGACAAGUACUGCCAAGAUGGUCCGUGGUGGUCUGCCUCUGGGACCCUGCUGACUACACACAACAAUUGAGGCUUACAAAAGAGGAACUAAGAAAAUCCAAAGAUUUGGAAGUGUCUGACCCUUUCUUCCCUUUAUGGCUUCUCACUUGCACAGAAGAAUUUCAGCCCAACUCUCCAUGCAACAUCCAAUAGGGGACAAAAUACUAUGCUCUAUCAUUACACCCUCAUUGAGGAGGGUCAAUAAUCAUUUCUCACCAAGAAAGUAGGAGGUCAGAAAGUGGAUGAGGAAUCAACCUAGUUUAGAGGAUUGAUCUAGAAUCUUGUCCUCAGGCUUCUAGGGAAUUAUCUGAGUCUUUUAUCUAAGACAAAUGCAACAGUUUUCUUUCCAAAUGCUCAGAAAAAUAGUGAUGAUGAUGAUGAUGAUGAUGUUCAUUUGUAUACAUUUACAUGCAACCACAGCAUUGUUUUUAUUAUAAUACCUUAGCAAUAACUAAUGAGAACAUGUUAGGUGAUGUUAAAUAAAAUAAUUU